AAAAAAAUAAACCCUAAAUUCCGUGUCCAACUUUAAUUGUCUGUCUUAUAUUAAAUUUUUUUAUAAUUCAUAUUUUCAUUAUUGUUAGAUGAUAAAACAUGAUUAAUAUUUUAUGCGCGACUUGUCUUUUUAAUUUUUUUCAUAAUUUUUUUAAAUAAGACGGACGGUUAAACGUUGGGCAUAGAAACUAGGGUUUGUCUUUUU
rfam:Oryza barthii chromosome 2, whole genome shotgun sequence.